GAUGAACGCCGGCGGCGUGCCUAAUACAUGCAAGUCGAGCGAACGGACGAGAAGCUUGCUUCUCUGAUGUCAGCGGCGGACGGGUGAGUAACACGUGGAUAACCUACCUAUAAGACUGGGAUAACUUCGGGAAACCGGAGCUAAUACCGGAUAAUAUUUUGAACCGCAUGGUUCAAAAGUGAAAGACGGUCUUGCUGUCACUUAUAGAUGGAUCCGCGCUGCAUUAGCUAGUUGGUAAGGUAACGGCUUACCAAGGCAACGAUGCAUAGCCGACCUGAGAGGGUGAUCGGCCACACUGGAACUGAGACACGGUCCAGACUCCUACGGGAGGCAGCAGUAGGGAAUCUUCCGCAAUGGGCGAAAGCCUGACGGAGCAACGCCGCGUGAGUGGUGAAGGUCUUCGGAUCGUAAAACUCUGUUAUUAGGGAAGAACAUAUGUGUAAGUAACUGUGCACAUCUUGACGGUACCUAAUCAGAAAGCCACGGCUAACUACGUGCCAGCAGCCGCGGUAAUACGUAGGUGGCAAGCGUUAUCCGGAAUUAUUGGGCGUAAAGCGCGCGUAGGCGGUUUUUUAAGUCUGAUGUGAAAGCCCACGGCUCAACCGUGGAGGGUCAUUGGAAACUGGAAAACUUGAGUGCAGAAGAGGAAAGUGGAAUUCCAUGUGUAGCGGUGAAAUGCGCAGAGAUAUGGAGGAACACCAGUGGCGAAGGCGACUUUCUGGUCUGUAACUGACGCUGAUGUGCGAAAGCGUGGGGAUCAAACAGGAUUAGAUACCCUGGUAGUCCACGCCGUAAACGAUGAGUGCUAAGUGUUAGGGGGUUUCCGCCCCUUAGUGCUGCAGCUAACGCAUUAAGCACUCCGCCUGGGGAGUACGACCGCAAGGUUGAAACUCAAAGGAAUUGACGGGGACCCGCACAAGCGGUGGAGCAUGUGGUUUAAUUCGAAGCAACGCGAAGAACCUUACCAAAUCUUGACAUCCUUUGACAACUCUAGAGAUAGAGCUUUCCCCUUCGGGGGACAAAGUGACAGGUGGUGCAUGGUUGUCGUCAGCUCGUGUCGUGAGAUGUUGGGUUAAGUCCCGCAACGAGCGCAACCCUUAAGCUUAGUUGCCAUCAUUAAGUUGGGCACUCUAAGUUGACUGCCGGUGACAAACCGGAGGAAGGUGGGGAUGACGUCAAAUCAUCAUGCCCCUUAUGAUUUGGGCUACACACGUGCUACAAUGGACAAUACAAAGGGCAGCGAAACCGCGAGGUCAAGCAAAUCCCAUAAAGUUGUUCUCAGUUCGGAUUGUAGUCUGCAACUCGACUACAUGAAGCUGGAAUCGCUAGUAAUCGUAGAUCAGCAUGCUACGGUGAAUACGUUCCCGGGUCU
rnacentral:rRNA from 1 species